UACGUAGGGGGCAAGCGUUGUCCGGAUUUAUUGGGCGUAAAGAGCGUGUAGGCGGCUGGGUAGGUCCGUUGUGAAAACUCGAGGCUCAACCUCGAGACGCCGAUGGAAACCCUCCAGCUAGAGUCCGGAAGAGGAGAGUGGAAUUCCUGGUGUAGCGGUGAAAUGCGCAGAUAUCAGGAAGAACACCCGUGGCUAAGGCGGCUCUCUAGUACGGUACUGACGCUGAGACGCGAAAGCUAGGGGAGCGAACGGG
rnacentral:rRNA from 1 species